UGGGCGUAAAGCGAGCGCAGGCGGUUAGAUAAGUCUGAAGUUAAAGGCUGUGGCUUAACCAUAGUACGCUUUGGAAACUGUUUAACUUGAGUGCAAGAGGGGAGAGUGGAAUUCCAUGUGUAGCGGUGAAAUGCGUAGAUAUAUGGAGGAACACCGGUGGCGAAAGCGGCUCUCUGGCUUGUAACUGACGCUGAGGCUCGAAAGCGUGGGGAGCAAACAGGAUUAGGUACCCUGGUAGUCCACGCCGUAAACGAUGAGUGCUAGGUGUUAGACCCUUUCCGGGGUUUAGUGCCGUAGCUAACGCAUUAAGCACUCCGCCUGGGGAGUACGACCGCAAGGUUGAAACUCAAAGGAAUUGACGGGGGCCCGCACAAGCGGUGGAGCAUGUGGUUUAAUUCGAAGCAACGCGAAGAACCUUACCAGGUCUUGACAUCCCUCUGACCGCUCUAGAGAUAGAGCUUUCCUUCGGGACAGAGGUGACAGGUGGUGCAUGGUUGUCGUCAGCUCGUGUCGUGA
rnacentral:rRNA from 1 species